GAUGAAGAACGUAGCGAAAUGCGAUAAGUAAUGUGAAUUGCAGAAUUCAGUGAAUCAUCGAAUCUUUGAACGCACAUUGCGCCCGCCAGCAUUCUGGCGGGCAUGCCUGUUCGAGCGUCAUUACAACCCUCAGGCCCCCGGGCCUGGCGUUGGGGAUCGGCGGAGCCCCCCGUGGGCACACGCCGUCCCCCAAAUGCAGUGGCGGUCCCGCCGCAGCUUCCAUCGCGUAGUAGCUAACACCUCGCGACUGGAGAGCGGCGCGGCCACGCCGUAAAACACCCAACUCUUCUGAAGUUGACCUCGAAUCAGGUAGGAAUACCCGCUGAACUUAAGCAUAUCAAUAAGCGGAGGA
rnacentral:misc_RNA from 1 species